rnacentral:rRNA from 1 species
GACGAACGCUGGCGGCAGGCCUAACACAUGCAAGUCGAACGGUAGCACAGAGAGCUUGCUCUCGGGUGACGAGUGGCGGACGGGUGAGUAAUGUCUGGGAAACUGCCCGAUGGAGGGGGAUAACUACUGGAAACGGUAGCUAAUACCGCAUAACGUCGCAAGACCAAAGUGGGGGACCUUCGGGCCUCACACCAUCGGAUGUGCCCAGAUGGGAUUAGCUAGUAGGUGGGGUAAUGGCUCACCUAGGCGACGAUCCCUAGCUGGUCUGAGAGGAUGACCAGCCACACUGGAACUGAGACACGGUCCAGACUCCUACGGGAGGCAGCAGUGGGGAAUAUUGCACAAUGGGCGCAAGCCUGAUGCAGCCAUGCCGCGUGUAUGAAGAAGGCCUUCGGGUUGUAAAGUACUUUCAGCGGGGAGGAAGGCGGUGAAGUUAAUAACUUCACCGAUUGACGUUACCCGCAGAAGAAGCACCGGCUAACUCCGUGCCAGCAGCCGCGGUAA